rnacentral:rRNA from 1 species
GAUGAACGCUGGCGGCGUGCCUAAUACAUGCAAGUCGAGCGAACAGACGAGGAGCUUGCUCCUCUGACGUUAGCGGCGGACGGGUGAGUAACACGUGGAUAACCUACCUAUAAGACUGGGAUAACUUCGGGAAACCGGAGCUAAUACCGGAUAAUAUCUUGAACCGCAUGGUUCAAUAGUUAAAGACGGUUUUGCUGUCACUUAUAGAUGGAUCCGCGCCGCAUUAGCUAGUUGGUAAGGUAACGGCUUACCAAGGCAACGAUGCGUAGCCGACCUGAGAGGGUGAUCGGCCACACUGGAACUGAGACACGGUCCAGACUCCUACGGGAGGCAGCAGUAGGGAAUCUUCCGCAAUGGGCGAAAGCCUGACGGAGCAACGCCGCGUGAGUGAUGAAGGUCUUCGGAUCGUAAAACUCUGUUAUUAGGGAAGAACAAAUGUGUAAGUAACUAUGCACGUCUUGACGGUACCUAAUCAGAAAGCCACGGCUAACUACGUG